rnacentral:rRNA from 1 species
AAGUCGAUACGGUAACAUAAGAGCUUGCUCUUGAUGACGAGUGGCGCACGGGUGAGUAACGCGUAUGCAAUCUACCUAUAACUGAGGAAUAGCCCAGAGAAAUUUGGAUUAAUACCUCAUAAUAUUAUUAUUUGGCAUCAUUUAAUAACUAAAACUCCGGUGGCUAUAGAUGAGCAUGCGUUCUAUUAGCUAGUUGGUGAGGUAAGAGCUCACCAAGGCUACGAUAGAUAGGGGGCCUGAAAGGGUGAUCCCCCACACUGGUACUGAGACACGGACCAGACUCCUACGGGAGGCAGCAGUGAGGAAUAUUGCACAAUGGAGGAAACUCUGAUGCAGCCAUGCCGCGUGCAGGAUGAAGGCCCUAUGGGUUGUAAACUGCUUUUUUACAAGAAGAAACCUUGGUACGUGUACCAACUUGACGGUAUUGUAAGAAUAAGCACCGGCUAACUCCGUGCCAGCAGCCGCGGUAAUACGGAGGGUGCAAGCGUUAUCCGGAUUUAUUAGGUUUAAAGGGUUCGCAGGCGGAAUUUUAAGUCAGUGGUGAAAGCCUACAGCUCAACUGUAGAACUGCCAUUGAAACUGAUAUUCUUGAGUAUAGAUGAAGUGGGCGGAAUAAGUCAUGUAGCGGUGAAAUGCAUAGAUAUGACAUGGAACACCAAUUGCGAAGGCAGCUCACUAAACUAUUACUGACGCUCAUGAACGAAAGCGUGGGGAGCAAACAGGAUUAGAUACCCUGGUAGUCCACGCCGUAAACUAUGAUCACUAGAUGUUGGCGAUAUAUUGUCAGUGUUUUAGAGAAAUCGUGUAAGUGAUCC